rnacentral:lncRNA from 1 species
AUCAGCUACUCAUGUGAAUAUGGGCCCUGCUACACCUCAGGAAGUAGAAUUCAAUGACUGAACAUGACAUUUUCAGAGAGUACAGGAGGUGACAGUCUGCUAGGCUGGAAUUCCCACUGCAAUGAUGAGUGAUGAUUGUUACUAUGACUGGACUGAGGCCAUGCUGCACCCUGGAAUGAUCCCUUAUGAUUUCAGAGGCUUG